rnacentral:lncRNA from 1 species
GGGCCUCUGGCGACGUCAGAGGCGUGGGUGUUCGGCUACGUCACUGGGGCCCUACGGUGCCUGGAGCUGGGCAGUCUUCUCGUCAGAGUGGGGACUGGUAAGAGCGACCUCCCCGCCAGGUCCUGUGUGUUGCCAGCCGAAGAAGGGUAGCUGAAAAAUUCAGACCCAGCACAGUGUUUAUGUUGGUCAAAAAUAGAAAACUAUGUCUGGCGCCGCCGAGGCGGGAGGACCCUUCAGGCCAAGAGCAGCCUAGCAACAUGGCGCAACCCCAUCUCUGUAGUCCUACCUCAGCUCCCCCCAGCUGAGGGGGGCUCAGCCCCCCAGCCCUCAAGUAUGAACCCAACGGUUCAAGGCUCCAGUGAGCUAUGAUCCCAUCACAGCAUUCCAGCCUGCGAGAUUGAGAUGAUGAUUAUUCCCCACCUUCUAGGACACAAAGACCAACGAGCCACCACAGCCACCAGUCCCAGAACCCGCUAAUGCUGGGGAACGGAAAAUGAGGGAGUUCAACUCUGGCAAGUUCUCAGCGAAAUCCACGACCUUUUCCUUUAUCUUCUGGACUCUCAAUGUGACUGAUGAAAGUUACCACAUGCUCUGCAGGGGGAAAUGGUUUAGCAUGUAUUACUACAUCUUAAUCACAUCUUUGUAAAGCCAGGAGCAUUUUGAAAGUCACGUUACAGACAUUCAGACAUUGUUUAAACAUAGUCUGUAUAUACCAAAGUAUAGGACGUUGUAUCAUCUCAUAUUAAUUAGUUAGUUGGCUCAAAAUUAGUGCUAAUGACUUAGUAAUUCAGUGAUUUCUGUUAGCUUUAAAACCUUUAUUUCAGAACUAUUUCACCUCUUGGUUUUCAUUUUUGCUGUGUGUCACUGCCUGCCAGCUGCUAAUUUAUUAACUCCCAGUGAAUCACGUGUCCUGUGAAGGGACUGAAUAUUAGUGGCAAAUUAUGUUGAUGAUUUAUAUUUUGAAUAAAUAGUUUGAAUACAUAGAACAUUAAGCUUGUAUACAUUUUGAAAAUAGUAUUUUAAUAUUCUACUGUGUCAUAGUCACAAUGAUUGGAUAUAUAUUGAAUUUAUAUGUACUUUAAGUUGUUAUAUGUUUAUGGUCUUUAGCAUUCUAACGUGCAGUUGUAUAUCUGUUAAGUCUUUUUUUUUUUUUUUCAAGAUUAGACUCUGAUUUA